rnacentral:rRNA from 1 species
GACGAACGCUGGCGGCGUGCUUAACACAUGCAAGUCGAACGGUAAGGCCCUUCGGGGUACACGAGUGGCGAACGGGUGAGUAACACGUGGGUGAUCUGCCCUGCACUUCGGGAUAAGCUUGGGAAACUGGGUCUAAUACCGGAUAGGACUCCGGACUGCAUGGUCUGGGGUGGAAAGCUUUUGCGGUGUGGGAUUGGCCCGCGGCCUAUCAGCUUGUUGGUGGGGUGAUGGCCUACCAAGGCGACGACGGGUAGCCGGCCUGAGAGGGUGACCGGCCACACUGGGACUGAGAUACGGCCCAGACUCCUACGGGAGGCAGCAGUGGGGAAUAUUGCACAAUGGGCGCAAGCCUGAUGCAGCGACGCCGCGUGAGGGAUGACGGCCUUCGGGUUGUAAACCUCUUUCAGCAUCGACGAAGCGAAAGUGACGGUAGGUGCAGAAGAAGGACCGGCCAAUUACGUGCCAGCCGCCGCAGUAA